GAUGAACGCUGGCGGCGUGCCUAAUACAUGCAAGUCGAGCGAACUGAUUAGAAGCUUGCUUCUAUGACGUUAGCGGCGGACGGGUGAGUAACACGUGGGCAACCUGCCUGUAAGACUGGGAUAACUUCGGGAAACCGAAGCUAAUAUCGGAUAGGACCUUCUCCUUCAUGGGAGAUGAUUGAAAGAUGGUUUCGGCUAUCAUUUACAGAUGGGUCGGCGGUGCAUUAGCUAGUUGGUGGGGUAACGGCUCACCAAGGCAACGAUGCAUAGGCGACCUGAGAGGGUGAUCGGCCACACUGGGACUGAGACACGGCCCAGACUCCUACGGGAGGCAGCAGUAGGGAAUCUUCCGCAAUGGACGAAAGUCUGACGGAGCAACGCCGCGUGAGUGAUGAAGGCUUUCGGGUCGUAAAACUCUGUUGUUAGGGAAGAACAAGUACGAGAGUAACUGCUCGUACCUUGACGGUACCUAACCAGAAAGCCACGGCUAACUACGUGCCAGCCGCCGCGGUAAUAC
rnacentral:rRNA from 1 species